UGAUAGGGUGGAGCUCUCCCUCCAGGGUUUAUUGGGUCACUACAUGAAGCAGGGAGACAGAUUGCAUUAGUUUGAAUGCACACGUGCAUGAAAAAUGCAAAACAAAAAAUUAUCCACACAAUGAUGAUCUUCAAGUUGGCAGGCAGUUGUGUUUUUCACAAUUUGUUUCACUCCUUGUUAUUUUUCGGGUUUGUGAUUAAGGCGGAGAGUCCUCCCUGUUGAUUUUGGACACAUGAAGGCACCGAAGUGUAACGUGAGCAGAGGAAGUGGGGUCCUGAGGUGGUCCUGAAGGUGUAUGAGCAGGAUGAGGUGGUGGUGGUCAGAUCGGGCCAGGCCGGGGUUCAGCACACACACAGACGAAGACAUCUGCUGGCACUUUGGGCCAUAACGCUUUUACCACGUGCCCCUGCAUGCAGCACUGCAGACCUGAAAGAAAUCCACACUUUUCCCCCUUUUAGACGAGCCAGUUGGGCCUGUUACGGCAGUUACAACUGAUAAUGACAUCCCGACCCACGGCGCCAUCGCAGAAGCGUAGCGCCCAGUCCGGUUACUCCAGUCGAACACACCACUGACAGAUCAAAACCUCCGAGUCUCACAACUGACGAAUAAACACUGGAAACUGCUAUAGGAGAAGCGUGUCACGCUCACAGAAACAUCCCCGCUACACUUCUUGAGGUAAUGCUCG